rnacentral:rRNA from 1 species
UACGUCCUGCUCACCGCCGCAGACGGAAUCGACUGCUCCUUCAAGCUGCUCUUCAUCAGUGUCUGCGAAUGGGGCAUCAAAGUACAGGCUGCCACAUCCUCCUCUGGUACCUGGCGGCCCCUUACUUCUCAUGUGAGCCACCCUGCCUUUCCAUGGAUGCACACAAUUGGGUACAACACCCCUGCUAUCCUCCGUGGCGGCAUCAUCCACUGGCUAGUGUAUUACAGGGACAAAAUCCUCACAUAUGAUGUGGGCACAGGAGCGCCGGGACGGGUGAAGCUCCCACCCACCAUUCACAAUCAAAGCAAGCUCCACUUGGCAACGUCACUAGACGGGAACCUGUUGAAACUGCUCGCCAUAGAGGGGUUCAAGAUAUCGGUGUGGCGACAACUACCUGCGGUCACAGCAAGUUGUGGUUGGUCGCUGGAAAAUGUGAUCGACAUUGAGCACAAACUACGGUUGGUGUGCCCAGACAUCCCCCACAGGAGUGGCGAUGUAGUUGUUGAUUUCGAAGGCUCUGGGAAGAGGAGCGGCGACGUGCUGCUGCUGCAGGUAUACAGGAAAUACGGAUGUACUGCGCUCAUAGUUCUUGACCUGCAUACCAAGGAGAUGCAUACACAUAAGUGGGGCUUCUCAUUUUGGGAGAUCAACCUAUCAUCCCACCUAGAAACUAUGAAAGUAUUU